ensembl:lncRNA
UUUGUGGAUUGGGGCUAAGAGAGGAAAAGGAUUAUGGGAGGCCAGAGGCGGUCUCAGGCCCUGCCCAGUUUCCUGUCACUCAGCUGAGUCCUCCCUGAGAGGGAAACCAGGCAAACCAGACACAGAAUCACAGCUCAGUGACCCAAACCAGGUGCCAAUUUUCUACUCAGUCCUUUCUUUGCUUCUCAAAUUGCAGCAUUUAAUGAGGUAAAACAUCAGAUUAUGGAGAACUUUUUUUUUUUUUUUUAAUGAGAAUUCAGGGAAGUUUCUAGGUUGGCUGAGAAGUAUGAAAGUAUUUAACCUCUGCUCAGAGAACUGCUCUUUAUUAACAUUUUCCCUUCCACUGUAGCUCGCAAAACUGCACUUUCUCAAACAAGUUCACCAUUUGGCGUUUGGAUCUGGUUAUAGCCAGACGGUGGGUAUCACUGUUACAAAUCAGCCUGGAGCUUGAUUUAAGCACCAGCAGGUUUUUCAGGGAAAACACUUGUGGGAAGAAAGAAGAGCCAAACGGUGCUGUUCUGAGAAGAAGUGGCCACUUGGACAGCAGAGGAUGCGGAGGGUGUUCCCCUCCCCUGUUUUUAACGGCUCAGGGAUUGCAUGGAGGCCCACUCUUUGGGAAGGAUGAUCCAGGAUGUAGUCCAUGAAUCCCACUGAAGAGUGGCUUUUUGAGCAGUGACACAAGGAGGAUUGGUCCGGGACCAUGAAGUCAGCAGCAUUGGUGUGGACCUCGAUGUUUCUGAAGCUGAGGACACACCAAGGACAUAGGGAACAAAGGGAGAAGGAAGAGAGAAAGCCAGACUGGAAAUGAAGGCUUGUAGCAGGUCACCAUGGGUUUAAGGGCCAACAUAACCAGAGGACAGAGGAGCCCAGCAGAGCCUAAAGCUGCCCCAGGAUCCAGCAUCACCCUGACCUCUCUUCCUGGACUCAGCAGCCUUUCACAGUUAGGACUCUGAAGGGACCUAACUCCUGCCUUGGGAUCGAACUUGGGUCCUUGCACUUGCGCAGCAGGCAACAAAACCACUGAGCUAAAUCCCCGGCCUCUACAUUCCCUCUUAAAGCAGCUUCACAGAAGAAGUCCUGGAAACACAGAGACCCUGAGAUGACCACGUGGGGAGGAAGCCUGCCAUAGCCACAGACAGAGGCCACAGGGAGGAAUGACCAAGUUUCAGACAUGCAAAUGAAGCCACGAACCUUCCAGCAAGCGUAGCUGCAAGUGAAUUCAACUGAAUGAGUGAUCGUAGCCAAUGAAAAAAAAGAGCAGAAGACUCAUCCAGCUGACCUUACUAAAUCCACACAAUUGUGGGAAAGGAAGGGUAAAACAUGGCACUCUUAAACCACUAAGCUUUGGGGUGAUUUGUUACGCAGCAGUGCAUGAUGGAAACGCAGUAACAUGCUUUUUUCCUGUUAUUCAAUGUUUUAUACAAUUUCUCAGUUCUUUAACCUUAAGAAUCAAAAUAAAAGCAAAAGUAUGUAAAGUAGUCAUAGACUAUUUCAGACAGAUAUUAAAUGAGAAACAGGAAAUCCGAUUACAUUACCUGUCUGCUCUUAACCUCCACUCACUCUGCUCUUAACCUGUCACUCAGAACGGAAGGCCCAUGUGAUCUGUUCUCUUGCCCCUGACUCGGCUCCCACUGUUCAUUGCCUUUGGUGUUCUUUGAAUAUCAUGGGCAUGGUUCACCUUAGGCAUUUGCAUCUGCUGUUCCCUGUGCCUGGAGUGUUCCUUUUAUAGACAAAUUCAUGACAUAAAUUUCUCACCUUCUCUAGCUCUUUAUUCAUUUGUUACUUUAGUAAUGAAGCCUCCCCUAACCUCAUUUAAAAUCACUAAUCUCCCUUUUUCUGACCUGUAUUCCUUGCCUUGCUUUAUGUUUUUCCAUAGUCAUUCCCAUUUAGUGUACUGUUAUUGUUCAUCUUAAGAGUUCUUGCUUGGUUUUUUUUUUUAACUGUUACAGAUCUAGAACUUGAAAGUGUGUGGCAGUUAAGUGAAUGAAUGAAUUUUCUAAUAUGCGAAGUCUCACCUCUCCUGGUUUCAGGCUGAUGUGUGCUAGACAGCCUUCUCUGCUGGCAAGGUACAGCACUGCAGUCCAGCUCUGUUAAACAAGAAGAGGGAAUCACAGUGCGUGCUUAAGAAAACUUCAAGUUUAUGGACUAGAAGUCAACAAGCUUCCUGCAAAUGGCCAGACACAAAAUAUUUUAAGCUAUGUGAGCCCUCUGGUCUCUGCACAAGUAUUCAACUCUGUCCUUGUACCAUGGAGAUGCCCAUUUUUGAAAAUAAAAUAUCUAGGAAUCAAUCUAACAAAGGAAGCAAAAGACCUCUACACGGAAAACUACAGCACUCUGCUCACUUCUUAUUGUCCAG